rnacentral:lncRNA from 1 species
GUAAAAAUACACAUCUUAUUAAUUACAAUGCCCCUGAUUAGAGUUUCACCUUCUCUUUUGUCCUAAUCUGUCCCUUCCCAGGUCUGACGUUCACCCUGGAUCCCUCUGCUGGUGCUCCAUCUCUCCACCUCCUCCCUCACUGUGACCUUCCACGGACCAAGCCCUCCGUCACUACCCUCUCGUCACCAUAGCAACAGGGUCACGGGUUCAGUAUCCCAGGAGUCUGCCCCCCAGCUCCUCCCUCAGGUGUGUGGGGACGUGGUCAGGGGCCAGUUCUACUGGGAGGUGGAUGUCUGCAACAGCACUCUGUACAGGAUAGGAGUGAGCUCAUUGGACGAUGCUGGUGGCUUGAAAGGCAGGGCUUGUCCUUCUCCACUGUGUACGAUAGCCGUCGGGAGCCCUUACAUGCCGUGCCACCCCAGAUCAAGA